rnacentral:rRNA from 1 species
GACGUAGGGGGCAAGCGUUGUUCGGAAUUAUUGGGCGUAAAGGGUGCGUAGGCGGCCUGACAAGUCUGAUGUGAAAUCCCUGGGCUCAACCCAGGGCCUGCAUCGGAAACUGUCGGGCUUGAGUAUGGGAGAGGUGAGUGGAAUUUCCGGUGUAGCGGUGAAAUGCGUAGAUAUCGGAAGGAACACCUGUGGCGAAAGCGGCUCACUGGACCAUUACUGACGCUGAGGCACGAAAGCUAGGGGAGCAAACAGG